CCUACGGGAGGCAGCAGUUAGGAAUCUUCCACAAUGGGCGCAAGCCUGAUGGAGCGACGCCGCGUGAGGGAUGAAGGUUUUCGGAUCGUAAACCUCUGAAUCUGGGACGAAAGGCGCUUCGGCGAGAUGACGGUACCAGAGUAAUAGCACCGGCUAACUCCGUGCCAGCAGCCGCGGUAAUACGGAGGGUGCAAGCGUUACCCGGAAUCACUGGGCGUAAAGGGCGUGUAGGCGGGAACUUAAGUCUGGCCUUAAAGACCGAGGCUCAACCUCGGGGAUGGGCUGGAUACUGGGUUUCUAGACCUCUGGAGAGGUACUCGGAAUUUCUGGUGUAGCGGUGGAAUGCGUAGAUACCAGAAGGAACACCGAUGGCGAAGGCAGAGUACUGGACAGAAGGUGACGCUGAGGCGCGAAAGUGUGGGGAGCAAACCGGAUUAGAUACCCGGGGUAGUCCACACCCUAAACGAUGUACGUUGGAUGACAGCAGGAUGCUGUUGUUGUCGAAGCUAACGCGAUAAACGUCCGCCUGGGAAGUACGGCCGCAAGGUUGAAACUCAAAGGAUUGACGGCUGAGACCGNGCGAGACGACGACGAGGAGAG
rnacentral:rRNA from 1 species